CUUUCUCUUCAUUCUCAAAAUCUCCCCAAAUCCAUCCAAAGCCCUAGCCCCUCUUCUCUCUCGAUGGAGACCACCGGGCGUCGCCGCAUCACCGCGUCGCCACCUCUGUUCACCACCCCUCUUUCUCUCGUCUCUUUCACCUCCGAGCCGAUCGGAUACAUCUCCACGUUGGGGAGAUCCGAACCCUCGGUAGAAAAUCGUUCGAGCGCCGUCCUUACCCCUCCUCCGGCGGUACGCCCGUUCGUCGGGGACCCGUCGCUCAUGGCCGUCGCCGCCUGAUCGGUGCAAAAGACAGUCUUCAUCUCCGGUGCAUGGUGCCGUUUCUGCACCAGCCGCUGCCCUCCGUUGUGCCGUCGGAGAGAGGAGCUUCACUGGUUCCAGCUCCCCAGCGUCUCAAGGUCGUCGGCGGUUCUCCGGUUUCGCCCAAAGCUAAGUUCCCUCCUCUACUAACGUUUUAAAUUCUUUUUCCUAAGGCAGUAGCUAUGUGGGAAGAUUUCAUUUGGUUGUUGGGGUGAAUUGGAACGUGGAGUCUUACUAUGUUUGAGUGAGAAAAUGGUUGCUAUGACUGUGAUGGCGAUAUACUUCUAUUUUGGUCAUUCGUGGUGCUAAUCCAUUGUGGCAUGCUUCCUAAAUCCUCCAUGUUUAGUUCUUUUACUUAUGUGAUGCGAUAGUAUUUGAAAAGGAAAAGGGCAGAAGCGUUUUACCUCUUGGAGGUGAACUUGUGUUCCCUUCUUGUUCCUCAGCUCUCGAAAUCGCGGCCUAGUGCUUGAGGCUGUUACUUGUGCACUUUACUGCUGUGUUAUUGAGCUUGUUGAUGGUGUAUGGAGGGGGUUUGGUGGUGUGAAGGAGACAAGACCGAGGGAGGUAUCACACAUAUAUAGGAGAGGCGUAACUGAAAGCCUGUAAGGCUGCUUAUGUGUGCAGUCGAACGGGACCCUUAAGCUGUGUAAAGUGGGCUGCUCCUCCUGCAGCAUUGCAGGGCGUGUACUCGUGUAUUAAUACAUGUUGCACCCCCCUUUUUGCUGCUCACUGCAGUGUACCUCGGUCCCUCUGUCUCUCGCUGCAAUUCACUGCAUUGUUGUGUGAUUCUUUUUUUUUGCAGAUAUAAUCGGUUAUGGAGGCUGUUGAACUGAGGUGUAGGGCCUCUGCAGCUGCAUUGCAGCUCUUCCCUCUCUUGCUUUGACCCGUGGCAGCUUUGGCUGAGGAGUGCAGGCCGUUACAGCCUCCCAUCUUGCUCCUUUGGGGUAGAGGGUUGAUCGUCUAUGGUUGUCAACAUGUUGCCUCGGCCCAACGGUCGUCGACAAUCGGGCCGUGAAACGUGGCUAAGGAGAAGGGGGCGAGCUUAGAUAUUCUAAUUUGUAAUAGAGUAGUAUUUUCUCCUUUCCCCUUUUUUUUCCAGUUCUCUUUCUCCCUUCAAAAGGAAUGUAUAUAAUUACUUGUAAAAAAUUAGGGUGUGUUAUCCUUCCUCUAUUUUCAUCAUCGUGCAUUUGUGGUUCGGAAAGUAGUACAUUGUAUUUUAUCCACUUAAGGAAUAAACGAACUCAUUUUCAUUUUA